rnacentral:rRNA from 1 species
UACGUAGGGUGCAGGCGUUAAUCGGAAUUACUGGGCGUAAAGCGUGCGCAGGCGGUUUCUUAAGUCAGAUGUGAAAGCCCCGGGCUUAACCUGGGAACUGCGUUUGAAACUGGGAGACUUGAGUGUGGCAGAGGGGGGUGGAAUUCCACGUGUAGCAGUGAAAUGCGUAGAUAUGUGGAGGAACACCGAUGGCGAAGGCAGCCCCCUGGGUUAACACUGAUGCUCAUGCACGAAAGCGUGGGGAGCAAACAGG